CUGAAAAUAUCAGGGAAUUUGUAUUUGUUAUUUUUAGCCCUAAACCCCUGACUACGUCAUGAAAAUACGUGAAAAAAGAGUAGGCCUACUGCAUGCAGCUUUAUUAUGGAGCAUGUGAGUUCUGCAAAUAAAACAUACAGGUCUUCUGUACCUUGUUCACUGUGACAGAUUCCAGUCUUAUUUGUGCGUAUCUUGGUGCUUGGCUGUGUAGAAUUUGCUGAAAAGAGAAAUACAGCGAGUUCUUCAAGCAAUGUGAAUCUUUCCUGAGCGUCAAAGAACUCAUCAUCUGAACUGCUGUCUCCAAACCCUGGUGGGGGAUGAUAAAUCG